UGGGGAAUAUUGCACAAUGGGGGAAACCCUGAUGCAGCGACGCCGCGUGAACGAAGAAGGUAUUCGUAUCGUAAAGUUCUGUCCUAUGGGAAGAUAAUGACAGUACCAUAGAAGAAAGCUCCGGCUAAAUACGUGCCAGCAGCCGCGGUAAUACGUAUGGAGCGAGCGUUGUCCGGAAUUAUUGGGCGUAAAGGGUACGCAGGCGGUGUAAUAAGUCGAAUGUUAAAGAUCGGGGCUCAACCCCGCAAAGCAUUGGAAACUGAUAAACUUGAGUAGUGGAGAGGAAAGUGGAAUUCCUAGUGUAGUGGUGAAAUACGUAGAUAUUAGGAGGAAUACCAGUAGCGAAGGCGACUUUCUGGACACAAACUGACGCUGAGGUACGAAAGCGUGGGGAGCAAACAGG
rnacentral:rRNA from 1 species